AGCAGAUGGAGCCAGAGAACAAGACAUCACAGUGACCUGCCAGCAGACACUUGGAUAGGUUUCACAUAGCUCAUCUGAGUGACGAAGACAAAUGUGAUGGGAGAUUCAGAGGUCCUGCUCCACCUAAAUACUUCACCUGCAACGCUUCUUUGGGUCCUGCAGGACCUGCAGGGUCUUCAUGCCCCUGCAGCCCCCUGACUGCAGCACAGUGUCACAGGUGAAGACGCCGGGAGCGCUGAUACAGAUCUGCUCACAAUCAUGCUUUCCCUCGGCACACAGGUCAAUGGCUGAAUAACACAGACACAC